CAGAUAAGGAGCUUGCUCCUUUGAAGUUAGCGGCGGACGGGUGAGUAACACGUGGGUAACCUACCUAUAAGACUGGGAUAACUUCGGGAAACCGGAGCUAAUACCGGAUAACAUUUAGAACCGCAUGGUUCUAAAGUGAAAGAUGGUUUUGCUAUCACUUAUAGAUGGACCCGCGCCGUAUUAGCUAGUUGGUAAGGUAACGGCUUACCAAGGCGACGAUACGUAGCCGACCUGAGAGGGUGAUCGGCCACACUGGAACUGAGACACGGUCCAGACUCCUACGGGAGGCAGCAGUAGGGAAUCUUCCGCAAUGGGCGAAAGCCUGACGGAGCAACGCCGCGUGAGUGAUGAAGGGUUUCGGCUCGUAAAACUCUGUUAUUAGGGAAGAACAAAUGUGUAAGUAACUGUGCACAUCUUGACGGUACCUAAUCAGAAAGCCACGGCUAACUACGUGCCAGCAGCCGCGGUAAUACGUAGGUGGCAAGCGUUAUCCGGAAUUAUUGGGCGUAAAGCGCGCGUAGGCGGUUUCUUAAGUCUGAUGUGAAAGCCCACGGCUCAACCGUGGAGGGUCAUUGGAAACUGGGAAACUUGAGUGCAGAAGAGGAAAGUGGAAUUCCAUGUGUAGCGGUGAAAUGCGCAGAGAUAUGGAGGAACACCAGUGGCGAAGGCGACUUUCUGGUCUGUAACUGACGCUGAUGUGCGAAAGCGUGGGGAUCAAACAGGAUUAGAUACCCUGGUAGUCCACGCCGUAAACGAUGAGUGCUAAGUGUUAGGGGGUUUCCGCCCCUUAGUGCUGCAGCUAACGCAUUAAGCACUCCGCCUGGGGAGUACGACCGCAAGGUUGAAACUCAAAGGAAUUGACGGGGACCCGCACAAGCGGUGGAGCAUGUGGUUUAAUUCGAAGCAACGCGAAGAACCUUACCAAAUCUUGACAUCCUUUGAAAACUCUAGAGAUAGAGCUUUCCCCUUCGGGGGACAAAGUGACAGGUGGGUGCAUGGGUUGUCGUCCAGCUCGUGUCCUGAAAAUGUUGGGGUUAAGUCCCCGCAACGAGCGCAACCCUUAAGCUUAGUUGCCAUCAUUAAGUUGGGCACUCUAGGUUGACUGCCGGUGACAAACCGGAGGAAGGUGGGGAUGACGUCAAAUCAUCAUGCCCCUUAUGAUUUGGGCUACACACGUGCUACAAUGGACAAUACAAAGGGCAGCUAAACCGCGAGGUCAUGCAAAUCCCAUAAAGUUGUUCUCAGUUCGGAUUGUAGUCUGCAACUCGACUACAUGAAGCUGGAAUCGCUAGUAAUCGUAGAUCAGCAUGCUACGGUGAAUACGUUCCCGGGUCUUGUACACACCGCCCGUCACACCACGAGAGUUUGUAACACCCGAAGCCGGUGGAGUAACCAU
rnacentral:rRNA from 1 species